GGCAACAUCUGUAUGUUGUGCUGUUUGCAAUGCUGUUACUGUGGUACCCUCGCCUGGUAUCAUUUCCUACCUGAAGUUUCAUGUAUUGCUGACUUUUAUACCAGUGAAGGACUAAUACGAAGCUAAUUCACUUACAAAAACUAUUAAAAAAAAGAUAAGUUGUAAAAACAAAACUGACAAUUUCAAUAGCUAUAAUUGAUGUCAAAAUAUUUUCCAAGUACUGGAUUGAGGUGUUUUCUCGGUGAUAAAAAACAAAUGAACUGAACAAAUUCAUUGAGAUGUGUCGUUGCAUUUUAAAUUGCUCUAGAUUAUUCAGGUGGAAAACCAGCAAGUACGAAGAAUAUUGCCUUAUGAUGGCUUUUUAGUAGUGUUUUAUGCUAAUCCUUUAGGGAACUCACUGCUGUAAAGAUAAUUUAUGAAUUUAAUACCAUAUUCAAGACUUGAGAAGACAAAAAUCUUUUAGGAUAAUUUGAAGAAAGGGCUUUGAUACAAAUAAGGCAGCACAAACUUGGGAAGGCUUUAACAUCAUAUAUAGUUUCCAAGGUUGAUACACACACAAAAUAAAUAACACAGGCUUCAACAAUUGACUGUGGAUGAAAUUUAUUUGGAUGAUGAGAAAAAUGAUAAAAUCGAGCUCCACAUGAAAAGUAGAACAUGAUGAAUUUUGUCCAUUUUGUAGGCUUUUCUUGGGUCUGUAACUGUUUAUUUGGUCACUUUUUUUUUGACAAACAAAAUUAACAAAGAAAAAUUAAAAGAAACAGUAACCAUCAAGCCUUUUCCCUACUAUGUGAGUUCAGUUUUAUAACCUUCAUUUGCCAAUCGCUUCUAUGGGGGAAUAAACCUCUACUCUGUAACAGCUUUUACUCUUAUUUUCAAUCAUGUUUGCAAUAUCUGAAACUAAAUGUUUUCUUUAGUAACUGCUAUUCUUGACUUUGAAACAGGAACUGAAAUGGCUCGGUUAGUUUGUGGAGGGUGCCACAUGCUACUGAUGCACAUGCAUGGAGCAUAUAGUGUCCAAUGUUCUUGUUGCCACACCAUCAAUCUGGCUUUGGAAGGUCGGAAAAUCAUUAAGAACCAAUAUUUCUAUUCUCAAAUUACUGCAUCACAAUUCAAUUUUUCUUAGACUCUGAGCCCUAAAACAUAAUCUUGUAAAUACUUGCAUCGAGAAGAAGCAUGCUCCCUUUUCUUAUCUAAUUAUCGAAAACUGGAUAUUAAAUUUGCAGUUGCUGUGUCUCAUAUAUCAAGACAGAAAAUAAUGUAAACCCUUUUGAUAUAGUUUCUGUGGCUUAGCAUGGCAGGAUUUAGCAGUAUAUGAAAGAUAUCUGUAAAAACCUAAGUAAAAGAUGAAAAUGGCCUACAGGAGAAGAUUUCUAUAUUGAUCAUGCACUUAGUACACAUGCAAUGAAUAUACCAUGCAGAAAAUUAAGAACAUCGUUCCUAUAAAUGCAUUUACCAUAAGCAAAUGAAGGGGGAAAGCUGAGUUAUUUUAUCCAUUGAAAAUGUUGAUCACAACAAGAUCCUAAAACAUUCGAAGUUUGUCACAAAUUUCUAUAUCUAGAAGUGAUAAUAGAGAAUCAUAUUACGGUUUCCUGAAAAAGGAUUACAAGAAAAUGCAAUCUAUAAACUGGAUGGUAAAAUUAAAGCUUUCCAUUGAAUAAGAAGCUAAUUUGGACUGUCUAAUGCACUUAUUUCAGGAGUCAUGAAAUCUCAUUAUCCGUCAAACUCUCAAUACUUUUCCACACCACUUGGAUCUCAUACCAGUUCAAUAGUUCAACAAUUACUACUUAUGAAAAGAGAUCAGAACUACCAGCUAAGAGCACAUGGUUAAGUACUUCAAUAAGGUGACACCAAUCACCUAAAUCAUGCAAAGAUAUCUUAUACCAGUUACACUUAGCCUCAUGGCCUAUGCUACUCGUGUUCCCAUCAAUUGUGUUUUGAAAAUUGAAUUUGAAGUAUGUCUCUAUUAGAAGGAGAUGGAAAACCUAACUUAAUCUGACAAAAUGACCUAGACCUAUUAAAUACAGGGAAAAAAAUACGAAGCUUCCUCAAUCAGGUGAAAAGGAAUUCGAGAGAUUGGAUCAUGUUGUUGAGGAUCUCGCAGACUCUCAGAAACCUUGUCAAGCCCCAUGGAUGAUCCAUUUGCAUGAUCAUUUCCCUUUGAAAUGAUUAUUCCUCAUAAUAAAGAAGUUCUACCUCAAUCUAGUUCCAAGCUUUUCCUAGCGAAUCUUGACAGCCGUGCAAGAUUUUUUUUUGAGAAAUUCUUUUUUCCGACUUUGUGUUGCUUCAACAAAUGUUAUAGAAUAGUAUUAACAAAUAAUGCCUGACAAGCUUUUUAGAAUAGUACUCGAAUACAUUAUAGAGUAAUCAAAAGUUCUUUAUGCUUAUAUGAACUCAUAAGAAUACAGAGAAGUUGCCUACAUGCAUUUUAACACCAAUUUUUUGUGGCAGCAAAUCAGGUUGCACAUGUUAACUGUGCGAACUGUCAUAUGUUGUUAAUGUACCCGGAUGGAGCAAGAUCUGUGAAAUGUGCAGUUUGCAAUUUUGUGACAUCAAUUGUGGUUGGUUUCCUUUAAUUUGACUGUAUCUUGCUGUAUCAUGCAUUCAUCAUGCAUUUGAAUAAUUUUCUUAUCCUUGUUCUUCAGUUUAUAUGCUUGGUCAUGUCCAACAUGCAAGCAUCACUAAACAUCUUGAAUGCCGAGUAGCUGAUUUAGAAAACAAUAUCAUUGCACAGAACACAACUAGCUUCAUGGCUCCCACCAAGAAAACCAAGUCACUAACACAAAAUCAAUUCAAUAGAACUUCAUAACUAAAAAGCACAGAAUAGAUAUUGUAAAGCAUAUACAUGCAUUAUUAAAAAACCAAAAAGAAAUAAACCAUCAUGACCUAAGGCCCUGCUUGGUUGCCGAACAAGUGGGGAGGUAUCCCCCAUAAAUUGGGGGAUAUCCUUGCCAAUGCAGAUAAAAUCUGUGAAAUAGGGGCUUAUACUGUGCAGCAGGAUAAGUGCGUCCACAUAGUAUAAGUCUAUUAUUCUACCACUUUGGUGGAAUAGACUUAUACUGCAGAAUUAGCUCACCCCUAUUCACCCCAAUUAUCAUUUUGCCUUUAUCCAUUUUAUAUAAACACCUAAAAAAUGGGAGGGUAGUUUCAUCUUUGUGAUAUUACAAAAUAUCUGAAAAUUGAAUAUGCACUAGUUGUACCUUAUUCCCUACAUUUAUUCCUCCAACCAAAUGCCAAAAUGCUCCUGUUCCACAGAAUAGGUCUAUCCUUCCAACAAUACAAAGGCUAUCUCUUCAAAAAAUUAUUCUGCAACCAAAUAUCAGAAUAAUCUUCAAAGAAUACCCUUUCAGCAUCAUCUUUAGAUGACAAAGAUGUCUAUUUGAAGACUACCAAUUUAUACUAUCACAAAACUAUGGUCUUUCUCUUUUUGGAUAUACUAUCAUGUUAUAUAAUCCAUCAUAUUACUUAAAAGUGACUAUAUAUUCCACCAUAAUAUUUGUGAAGGAAAAAUACCACUUAGAAUUUGAACCUACAACAACCUAGCGUUUAACAAUGUAUUUCAUCAGUGUUUCUGCAAAAUUUCAUUUAUGUAACCAGAAGGAGGAAGACAAAAUGAAAAAUCUCAUCUAAUGGUUAUUUGCAGCUUCAAAGAUAUUUUUCAAAAAGUAUCUUACUGCCACCAUGCUGAGCCAUAUGUAAUUACUCUCUCUCUCUCUCUCUAGUGUAUGCUCCAAUCCCACCCCCACCCCACCUACCAAACCCCUGCCCGCUUGCUGAGUGAGUUAGAGGUGAUACCAUCCAAACUAAGUUUUCGGUUGUCUGAAACAUAUGUAACUCAAUACCAAAUAACAGUUAUGCUUCAAAAGAUCAACAGAAAAAACAAAAAAACAAGGAGAAAAAUUGCCUCUUUCCAUGGCAUAUUUCUGGGCAUGAAAUGCCACACUUUUUACCUACCUAUAUAUCUAAAAUAUGAUGUUUUGUAUGAAUCAGAAGUAAACGCAAUGCUUUCCAAGCUUAUUUAUGCUCACUGAAUAUUGUUUGUUAACAGGAUUCACCAAGCAGUGAACAGAAACUCGAUAGCUGAUAUCCUGAGCAAGCAAUAUUGGUAAUAUCAGACUUUUGAAGGUUCAGAAUUCCUUCUUGUGGUGCCUAAAGCAGGUGAGCAAACCUACAAGUGAAGACAAUAGUUUCAGGGUUCUCUACACUCUAGGUGAACUUUGCAGAGUUGUUUCUUUGUGAUUUUUAUUUUUAUUUUUUUUGCUUUCCAAUGUAAGCAGUCCCCUAAGUUCAAGGCAAGAGGAUGGUUCUAGUAUAAACAUAUAUGUAACAGAUGAGUGAUUGUCUCUGCAUUUGUGUACUGUCUUUGCCAAGGAUGGAGUUUGUUAAUUUAUUUUGCAGAAAUAGUGAGUUUAUCUUUGUUUACCAAUUCCAAAUUUUGAUACUCUCGUGGAUUAGAUAGUAUAGCCUCUAGAUUUUAAAGAAUCAUUUUAACGAUGCUCUUUCAUUUUGCUUUUCCUUCAUAAGUAACUCUUUUGCGAUAUUUCAAUACCAAUACCAAGCAUUACAAAGUUGGCUAGUCUUCUUCUUAGGGUGUUUAAACACCUCCAUGAUCAAGGCUUGAACUCGCAUCCUUUCCUGAACUAUAUUAUGUUUCAAUACUAUGUAUGAACAAUAUCCAUAUCUAUCACCCAAAUAUCACAAUUGAGCCUCUAUCAUUUUCAAAUUCAACAUUAUUAUGCUUUCUGCUUCCUGAUGUCCAUCAUUUAGGAAGUAUAAAAGUGAUCUCAAUAAAUUGAAAAAUUCAUCGAGUCCCAUAGUUCAGUGCAAGUAUCUUACACUUUGCUGGUUCUACCAACUAAUAUGACCCCAAAGUUUAUUAUAAGCAAAAGCAUCAAGGGUCAUCAAAAUUUACUAACCCAGAAACCAAUAUAAACUUUGGCACUGUGUUUGCAUUUCGAACUAUAAUGCGAUUUUGCUUUGUUCCCAGACUCCCACAUCUAGGUCUGCAUUUGGGAAGAAAAUAUAUUAGAAUUUAACCUCCGCCGACAAAUACUCGAAUUUCAAGAUUUGGGGAAUCUAUAACUUUCUCAUAGGGGUAUUUUCUUUAUUUUAAAAUCCUUAGUAGGGAACAAUUAUUUUUCUACACAGCAAUGAACUGGAAAUACUCUAUUUGUAACAUUCUUUACGGUGGAACCAUGAUAAGUCUUGGGAUGGAAAUCAGACGUAUCCUUCAUAAGUUUCUUGCUGACGUCGAUAGAAGUAACCUCAGAACCAUGGAUAAACUAUUCUUUUCCCCUCUUCUGGUGAGAUUGCAGCAAGUCAUUUGCUUCAAAUAUGAUCCGAACCUCAACUAACAAGACCAGAAGCAGGAUGCUGACUGGUACACGGCUGGGUUCAUCCAUCAUGCGACAUCCCUCACCAAACUCCUCUCCCUCUCAGCCACUCCAGACACCGCAAGCCUGGGUUAUGCCUGCAAGGUCUUCAAUCACACCCACCAACGCAACAUAGUGAUC
rnacentral:lncRNA from 1 species